rnacentral:rRNA from 1 species
AUUGAACGCUGGCGGCAUGCUUUACACAUGCAAGUCGAACGGCAGCGGGGUAGUGCUUGCACUACUGCCGGCGAGUGGCGAACGGGUGAGUAAUAUAUCGGAACGUACCGAGUAAUGGGGGAUAACCAAUCGAAAGAUUGGCUAAUACCGCAUACGUCCUGAGGGAGAAAGCGGGGGAUCGCAAGACCUCGCGUUAUUCGAGCGGCCGAUAACUGAUUAGCUAGUUGGUGGGGUAAAGGCCUACCAAGGCGACGAUCAGUAGCGGGUCUGAGAGGACGAUCCGCCACACUGGGACUGAGACACGGCCCAGACUCCUACGGGAGGCAGCAGUGGGGAAUUUUGGACAAUGGGGGCAAACCUGAUCCAGCCAUGCCGCGUGUAUGAAGAAGGCCUUCGGGUUGUAAAGUACUUUUGUUAGGGAAGAAAAGGGAAGUGCUAAUACCACUUUUUGCUGACGGUACCUAAAGAAUAAGCACCGGCUAACUACGUG